UCGAGAAUUUUUCACAAUGGGCGCAAGCCUGAUGGAGCGACGCCGCGUGGGGGAUGAAGGGCUUCGGUCCGUAAACCCCUGUCAUUUGCGAACAAAGCUGCUGGCCUAAUACGCUAGUAGUUGAUAGUAGCAAAAGAGGAAGGGACGGCUAACUCUGUGCCAGCAGCCGCGGUAAUACAGAGGUCCCAAGCGUUGUUCGGAUUUACUGGGCGUAAAGGGUGCGUAGGUGGCGGGGUAAGUCUGGUGUGAAAGCUCCGAGCUCAACUCGGAAAAGCAUUGGAAACUAUCCCGCUGGAGGGUCGGAGGGGAGACUGGAAUUCUCGGUGUAGCAGUGAAAUGCGUAGAUAUCGAGAGGAACACCAGUGGCGAAGGCGAGUCUCUGGACGACUCCUGACACUGAGGCACGAAAGCUAGGGGAGCAAACAGGAUUAGAUACCCCCGUAGUCC
rnacentral:rRNA from 1 species